CACCGCGGUUAUACGAGAGGCCUAAGUUGAUAGACACCGGCGUAAAGAGUGGUUAGGAGUAAAACAUAAACUAAAGCCGAACGCCCUCAAGGCUGUGAUACGUCUACGAAGGUAAGAAGCUCUUCCACGAAAGUGGCUUUAAUGUAUCUGACCCCACGAGAGCUGAGGAA
rnacentral:rRNA from 1 species